rnacentral:rRNA from 1 species
UACGUAGGGCGCAAGCGUUGUCCGGAAUUAUUGGGCGUAAAGAGCUCGUAGGCGGCUUGUCACGUCGGGUGUGAAAGCCCGGGGCUUAACCCCGGGUCUGCAGUCGAUACGGGCAAACUAGAGUAUUGCAGGGGAGACUGGAAUUCCUGGUGUAGCGGUGAAAUGCGCAGAUAUCAGGAGGAACACCGGUGGCGAAGGCGGGUCUCUGGGCAAUAACUGACGCUGAGGAGCGAAAGCGUGGGGAGCGAACAGG